UGUAAUUAUAAUGUUCUUAAACGUGGGAUUAUAGGCAUUUAGUAAUACAAAUUGUAGUGAUAUUAACAACAAUACAUAUGUCAAUACAUGAUUACAAGCUAUGGAGACGUUGUAUUUUGACAACAAAUACGAAACAGACUGACUCAGGGCCGGAUUAACGUUCCGCGGGGCCCGUGGCAUAUUAUUGGAGCGGGGCCACUUGACCACCCUCCCCCCUCCCCAACCGGCCGAACGGCAUUUUAAAUCCUGUAUUGAGUAAGAUUAAAAAAUAUCAUUUUGUAUUUCAUGCGUUGAAAAGUUUCCUGUGUAUUUACAAAAAGAGAAANNNNNNNNNNNNNNNNNNNNUCAAAAUACAACGUCUCCAUAGCUUGUAAUCAUGUAUUGACAUAUGUAUUGUUGUUAAUAUCACUACAAUUUGUAUUACUAAAUGCCUAUAAUCCCACGUUUAAGAACAUUAUAAUUACACAAAAAUAUAAAAUACAAAAUAUAAAAUACAAAAUAUAAAAUACAAAAUAUAAAACACAAAAAUACAAAAUAUAAAACACAAAAAUACAAAAUAUAAAACACAAAAAUACAAAAUACAAAAGUAAUUUUAUGCUGUCGCCUCUGGGCUUCUGUACCAACUUUUACCACUUUUAAUGCAAUAUUACUAAACUGUAAUACUGCCAUAUAUAUUUAAUCUCGCGUUUGUUAUUUGCGCAACAGCAGUUUUGCCGUGGAAUUAAAAUUGCGUGUCAUAUGAUAUUUUAAUAGGCAAAUAGCGUUUGAGAUAUAGGCCUAGCAACAUUAGCAAAC
rnacentral:lncRNA from 1 species